UAGUCGAUCGCUACAAGGAGGAACUUCCUCUGCCCUGACGCCAUGGGAAAGGGGCCAAGGAUGUCCAUCUCCCAUUGCGCAAAAGGCCAUGGGGCACUCAAGGGUGUGAGCUCGGUGGCAGGCUGUCUCUGGACGUUAGCAUAUCUCUGGCAUCGAUCACACUUUCUGACAUAUUCAAUCGAAUCAUGAUGUAUUGUCGGCCAGUAAUAUCCUUGGUGGAGCAACUUGUGGGAUAAAGAUCUAGCCCUCAAAUGGUUUCCGUAGAUUCCUUCAUGUACUUCCCACAAGGCGUAGUCAGCUUCCGAAGGCUGGAGGUAUUUUAAGAGGGGCAAGGAGUAUGAUCUCUUGUACAAUUAGCCCUCAUAAAGGAUGUAUCAGGAGGCUUGGUUUCAGAGCUUUCGAGCUUCUUUCGCAUCCUGGGGGAGAACUCCAUCUCUGAGAUAGAUUAUCAGUGGGUCGACCC
rnacentral:lncRNA from 1 species